rnacentral:tRNA from 1 species
GAAAAAGUAUGCAAGAACUGCUAACUCAUUGCCCCCACACCUAAAAAUGUGGCUCUUUAA